rnacentral:rRNA from 1 species
UACGUAGGGUGCGAGCGUUUAAUCGGAAUUACUGGGCGUAAAGCGUGCGCAGGCGGUGAUGUAAGACAGAUGUGAAAUCCCCGGGCUCAACCUGGGAACUGCAUUUGUGACUGCAUCGCUGGAGUGCGGCAGAGGGGGAUGGAAUUCCGCGUGUAGCAGUGAAAUGCGUAGAUAUGCGGAGGAACACCGAUGGCGAAGGCAAUCCCCUGGGCCUGCACUGGACGCUCAUGCACGAAAGCGUGGGGAGCAAACAGG